GACGAACGCUGGCGGCAUGCUUUACACAUGCAAGUCGAACGGGUGCAGCAAUGCAUCAGUGGCAGACGGGUGAGCAACACGUGGGAACCUUCCUAGGGGUACGGAACAACUCAGGGAAACUUGAGCUAAUACCGUAUACGCUCUUGCGAGGAAAGAUUUAUCGCCUUUAGACGGGCCCGCGUCGGAUUAGGUAGUUGGUGGGGUAACGGCCUACCAAGCCUACGAUCCGUAGCUGAUCCGAGAGGAUGAUCAGCCACACUGGGACUGAGACACGGCCCAGACUCCUACGGGAGGCAGCAGUGGGGAAUCUUGGACAAUGGGCGCAAGCCUGAUCCAGCCAUGCCGCGUGAGUGAAGAAGGCCUUCGGGUUGUAAAGCUCUUUUGUCAGGGACGAUAAUGACGGUACCUGAAGAAUAAGCCCCGGCAAACUUCGUGCCAGCCGCCGCAGUAA
rnacentral:rRNA from 1 species